AAUUCACUUUCUCAUUGAGUCUGGCAGCUCAUGUGACCAGCUGAAAAGGGUCAGCAGUGGUGUUGGGCUGUGAAGUCAGUGAAGAAGACCUGAGAAAGACAUGGG
rnacentral:lncRNA from 1 species